AAGCUUCCCAUCUUUAGAAGGCAAAGCAAGUGUUAGAUCCAGGUCCAGAUUCGCUCUGGAGCAGGACCCUUGUAGGCCAUCUUACGGUCCCUUCUCCAGUCUCCCCUCAGCCUGGCUCUGUAGGCAGCCUCCCUGUCGUCUGUUAUCAGACUGCCUAUCCCUGAACAAGUGGCCCGGCCAUGCUCAGCCGUGUUCUCCCAUCUGUGUGACAGGAAGUGAAUGCCCAUUCCCCAAGCACUGAGGAGAGGAUCACAGGAGCUACUGCAUCUCAUGCCCGCGCGGUGCAGGCCCCUGUCUCUAACUUCGGGGAGGGAGGCUCUCCCGGGAUUCCCAAGUUCUCAGAAAAGAUCCUCACAGAGAGCUGAAGCCAGGCUGCUAGGGCCCUCUCCAAGAUGAUUUUUCAAGGGAAGCAGAAGAGGCUCUGUCAAUAUUCAGUUGGGUGGGAGCCGUACCCCCUGCUGCAGAGCCUCCAGGUCUGGUCUCAGCCAGAGAAGCGACCCCAACAGCCUGAUACCACGUUCCCACCCUGCGGCAGGGGCCUGAGACGCCAGCAGCAGAGCUGCACAUCCGCCCAGCAGGGAAAGGAUCAGUGUGUCCAUUCGGAGAUCUGCCAUCCGGGCCCUUCCAGGACACAAUUAUGACAGGAAGGCAGAUCGUCACAAACAUCAUGCCAAAUAGAGUGCAUUCUUAAAUAUUCUUUCCAUGUUGAGUAACUAUCACUGCUGGAGGAUCAAGAUUGCUGGUAGCCUCUUGAACCCUGCCAGCUGUCAUCAGGAGAUGUUAUCAAUACAAAUUCCCAGACUUCAGCUGAGUUCUCAGCUA
rnacentral:lncRNA from 12 species